AUACUUACCUGGCAGGGGCGAUACCUUGAUCAUAAAGGAGGUUUACCCAGAGUGAGGCUUGGCCAUUGCACCCUGGCUGUGCUGACCUUUGCAAAUUCCCCAAAUGUGGGAAUCUCAACUGCAUAAUUUGUGGUAGUGGGGGACUGCGUACACACUCUCCCCUG
ensembl:snRNA U1 U1 spliceosomal RNA